rnacentral:rRNA from 1 species
CCUACGGGAGGCAGCAGUGGGGAAUAUUGGACAAUGGGCGCAAGCCUGAUCCAGCCAUGCCGCGUGGAUGAUGAAGGCCCUAGGGUUGUAAAGUCCUUUCGACGGGGAAGCGGUACCCGUAGAAGAAGCCCCGGCUAACUUCGUGCCAGCAGCCGCGGUAAUACGAAGGGGGCUAGCGUUGCUCGGAAUCACUGGGCGUAAAGCGCACGUAGGCGGAUUCUUAAGUCGGUGGUGAAAUCCUGGAGCUCAACUCCAGAACUGCCUUCGAUACUGAGAGUCUUGAGUUCGGGAGAGGUGAGUGGAACUGCGAGUGUAGAGGUGAAAUUCGUAGAUAUUCGCAAGAACACCAGUGGCGAAGGCGGCUCACUGGCCCGUCUGACGCUGAGGUGCGAAAGCGUGGGGAGCAAACAGGAUUAGAUACCCUUGUAGUC